CAGGUUUCAAAACACGAAAAAAGUAGCAGCCUAUAGUCCGGAAAUGUAUUUUUUUAUACAUUAUACAUUUUACAAGCAGGUGGUUACACGUCCACACGAGUGGACAAUGCAAACGCCGAACUCAUAAAGAGGUAAAGAAGCUGGAGUUCUAAAAAGUGACUGACCUUCCACCUGCAUCUCCUGGGAGACCUUGGUGACAUCAUCCUGUGAGCGUCCGUCCGUCAGCACCACCAAAACAUUGGGGAUCCCUCUCCGGACUCCACCCUCAACUGUGAAGAUCUUUUCCUUCACGUGCCGAAUUGCCGCUCCUAUUUUGGAUCAGAACACAGCUACUGAGGAGAUCCGAGUGAUUGCGUCGAGCAGCUGCUGUUUAUCGCUGUAGGAAUUCAACUUGAACUCAGUGCGAGCGUCGUCACUGAACUGAGCCAUCGCCACCUGUCAAGCACAGAACCAUCGGAUCAGAGGACUCGUGGCUGAAACGUCCACUUUACACUAAAGAAACAGUCGCACAAAGACUGAGAAAAUAAAAAGAAAUGCGAUGUGCUGACCUGAGUUCCACCCGGGCCGAUUUGGUCCAGUGCGCCGGUGGUGCUGUACAGGAAGUUGAUGAUCUUCAGGAAGUUGUCGUCUCCGAUGCUCCAGGACCCAUCGACCAGGAACACCAGGUCCGCUUUCGCUGCUCUACACACUGCACACAGAACAAAGUCAUCAGAGUCCACUUCAUCUCAAGGUCAUCACCUCACCUUCAGACACAGUGUGACCUCUAAACACAGA